AUGCGUAGCUCAGUUUUGGUUAGAGCGCUGCACUGUCACUGCAGAGGUCGCGGGUUCGAGUCCCGUCGUGUCC
rnacentral:tRNA from 1 species